rnacentral:rRNA from 1 species
AGUGAACGCUGGCGGUAGGCCUAACACAUGCAAGUCGAACGGCAGCACAGUAAGAGCUUGCUCUUACGGGUGGCGAGUGGCGGACGGGUGAGGAAUACAUCGGAAUCUACUUUUUCGUGGGGGAUAACGUAGGGAAACUUACGCUAAUACCGCAUACGACCUACGGGUGAAAGCAGGGGAUCUUCGGACCUUGCGCGAUUGAAUGAGCCGAUGUCGGAUUAGCUAGUUGGCGGGGUAAAGGCCCACCAAGGCGACGAUCCGUAGCUGGUCUGAGAGGAUGGAUCGGCAAACCGGGACCGGGACAACGUUCCGGCUUCCUAGGGGAGGCAGAGUUGGGAAUAUUUGAACAAGGGCGCAAGCCUGAUCCAGCCAUACCGCGUGGGUGAAGAAGGCCUUCGGGUUGUAAAGCCCUUUUGUUGGGAAAGAAAAGCAGCAGGUUAAUACCCCGCUGUUCUGACGGUACCCAAAGAAUAAGCACCGGCUAACUUCGUG